GAAAUUAGCAAUAGUGCAUAGAAUGUACUCCAAAGGAUCAAGUUAAGCAACGUUGCAGGUGAUUAGUAUCCGGAUGGGUGACCAUUCGGACAAUCACGUGCUGCUGACU
rnacentral:rRNA from 1 species